rnacentral:tRNA from 1 species
GGAUUGUGGCUCAGUGGUGGAGUGCUUGCCUAGCAAGUGUGAAGCCCUGGGUUCAAUCCUCAGUACCA